rnacentral:rRNA from 1 species
GAUGAACGCUGGCGGCGUGCCUAAUACAUGCAAGUCGAGCGAACGGACGAGAAGCUUGCUUCUCUGAUGUUAGCGGCGGACGGGUGAGUAACACGUGGAUAACCUACCUAUAAGACUGGGAUAACUUCGGGAAACCGUAGCUAAUACCGGAUAAUAUUUUGAACCGCAUGGUUCAAAAGUGAAAGACGGUCUUGCUGUCACUUAUAGAUGGAUCCGCGCUGCAUUAGCUAGUUGGUAAGGUAACGGCUUACCAAGGCAACGAUGCAUAGCCGACCUGAUAGGGUGAUCGGCCACACUGGAACUGAGACACGGUCCAGACUCCUACGGGAGGCAGCGGUAGGGAAUCUUCCGCAAUGGGCGAAAGCCUGACGGAGCAACGCCGCGUGAAUGAUGAAGGUCUUCGGAUCGUAAAACUCUGUUAUUAGGGAAGAACAUAUGUGUAAGUAACUGUGCACAUCUUGACGGUACCUAAUCAGAAAGCCACGGCUAACUACGUG